rnacentral:rRNA from 1 species
UACGAAGGGGGCUAGCGUUGUUCGGAAUUACUGGGCGUAAAGCGCACGUAGGCGGACUACUAAGUCAGGGGUGAAAUCCCGGGGCUCAACCCCGGAACUGCCUUUGAUACUGGUAGUCUCGAGUCCGGAAGAGGUGAGUGGAAUUCCGAGUGUGGAGGUGAAAUUCGUAGAUAUUCGGAGGAACACCAGUGGCGAAGGCGGCUCACUGGUCCGGUACUGACGCUGAGGUGCGAAAGCGUGGGGAGCAAACAGG